rnacentral:lncRNA from 1 species
CAUGUUUGCAGCGUGGUCAUACAUAUGCGGAGCUGUGAGAUAGCCUUCCAAAAAUCCAGCAGCAUACAUGAUAUCUUCAUUGCUUAAGGUCUGAUGGCCAUAGCCUGCUUUUAUCUCCAGAACUCCCCAACCUGUUGUCUGUACAGUGUUGUUGUAGAAGCCAUAGGCAUCUCCACUCCUGUCCAGUAUAUUCUUGACCUGAAGUAUUUUUUGAGCUUUAUUCCAGUACAAAGUUGCAUAGCGCAUUUCUGUGGCCAAGAAGAAAGAAGGCAAUGGAAACAAAAACAAAAACACGAGGGAAGUUAGUGAUGCAACACAUCUGAAAAGCAACAAGCUUCAUAGGAACAUCAUUUUACUACAACACUUCUGAC